UACGUAGGGUCCGAGCGUUGUCCGGAAUUAUUGGGCGUAAAGAGCUCGUAGGCGGUUUGUCGCGUCUGCUGUGAAAUCCCGAGGCUCAACCUCGGGCCUGCAGUGGGUACGGGCAGACUGGAGUGCGGUAGGGGAGAAUGGAAUUCCUGGUGUAGCGGUGGAAUGCGCAGAUAUCAGGAGGAACACCGAUGGCGAAGGCAGUUCUCUGGGCCGUAACUGACGCUGAGGAGCGAAAGCGCGGGGAGCGAACAGG
rnacentral:rRNA from 1 species